rnacentral:rRNA from 1 species
CCAAGGUCAUCUAUAGAACAGAAGUCUAGGGAGGCCGAAGCCGCGCCGCUCCCCACGGGGGGUGACGGGGCCUGUGCCCCCUCCACACGUGUCUACCACACUCUGUUGCCUUGGCGGGUCUGCCCCUGUGGCUGCUGGGGAUCACCGCUGGUGUCCCGGGUCCGUACCCGCCGAUGGAACCUCUGAACCCUCUGUGAAUCUAGUGUGUCUGAGUGUUUGACAAAUCAAACAAAACUUUCAACAAUGGAUCUCUUGGUUCUGGCAUCGAUGAAGAACGCAGCGAAAUGCGAUAAGUAAUGUGAAUUGCAGAAUUCCGUGAAUCAUCGAAUCUUUGAACGCACAUUGCGCCCUCUGGUAUUCCGGGGGGCAUGCCUGUUCGAGCGUCAUUGCAACCCCUCAAGCGCGGCUUGUGUGUUGGGCCAUCGUCCCCAUGUGGACGGGCCUGAAAUGCAGUGGCAGCACCGAGAUACCGGUGUCUGAGUGUAUGGGCUUCCAUCACCACUCUGUAGACCCGAUCGGUGCUGGUCGUGAACGUCAUCUUCAUCCAGUUUGACCUCGGAUCAGGUAGGAAUACCCGCUGAACUUAAGCAUAUCAAA